rnacentral:tRNA from 6 species
AGGAGUAUAGUUCAAUGGUAGAGCAACGGUCUCCAAAACCGUGGAUCUGGGUUCGAAUCCUAGUACUCCUGCCA